rnacentral:sRNA from 1 species
CCUCUUCAAUUUGUUGUGGACAGAUAAAAUGGAUAUGAGAGUCAAUGCCUCCGGCGGUAAUAAUCAAGCCCUCACCCGCAAUGAUUUCAGUUGCUCCGCCUAUUGGAAUAGUCACAUUGGGUUGAAUAUCAGGAUUUCCAGCUUUACCAAUUCUCCAUAUACGUCCAUCCUUAAUUCCAAGAUCAGCUUUGAUGACUCCCAAUAUAGGAUCAAUGAUCACGGGAUUGGUAAUCACCGUAUCAGCCACAUCUUUUGCCGUUAAUUGAGAUUGGCCCAUGCCGUCACG